rnacentral:rRNA from 1 species
UACGUAGGUGACAAGCGUUGUCCGGAUUUACUGGGCGUAAAGAGCGCGCAGGCGGUCGAUCAAGUCGAGUGUGAAAGCCCCCGGCUCAACUGGGGAGGGUCAUUCGAUACUGAUCGACUCGAAGGCAGGAGAGGGUAGUGGAAUUCCCGGUGUAGUGGUGAAAUGCGUAGAUAUCGAGAGGAACACCAGUGGCGAAGGCGACUACCUGGCCUGUUCUUGACGCUGAGGCGCGAAAGCUAGGGGAGCAAACGGG